GGUGGAUCACCGACUGAAGAAAAGUGACAUGAAAUGGAAUGACACUUUCAAUGGCUGGAACAGAGCGUCUGUGGCUACUUGCUAGUUUAUGUCAGGUGGUCUUGCUGACCUGUGAACAACAGCCAAACCCUGUUGAGGUUGAAGUUUUGUUUCAGUCCUUCCCUUCUAGUCAAGAUCCAGACAGCUACACAGUCAUUUGCAGGACUGCAAGUAACCAUCUGGUGUACGCUGAGCACAUUGAUCACUCACCGUGCUUUCCUAAUUGCAAGAUAUUGCUACAGUUGAUUGA